CAGGCUUAACACAUGCAAGUCGAGGGGCAGCAUGGUCUUAGCUUGCUAAGGCCGAUGGCGACCGGCGCACGGGUGAGUAACACGUAUCCAACCUGCCGUCUACUCUUGGACAGCCUUCUGAAAGGAAGAUUAAUACAAGAUGGCAUCAUGAGUCCACAUGUUCACAUGAUUAAAGGUAUUCCGGUAGACGAUGGGGAUGCGUUCCAUUAGAUAGUAGGCGGGGUAACGGCCCACCUAGUCUUCGAUGGAUAGGGGUUCUGAGAGGAAGGUCCCCCACAUUGGAACUGAGACACGGUCCAAACUCCUACGGGAGGCAGCAGUGAGGAAUAUUGGUCAAUGGGCGAGAGCCUGAACCAGCCAAGUAGCGUGAAGGAUGACUGCCCUAUGGGUUGUAAACUUCUUUUAUAAAGGAAUAAAGUCGGGUAUGCAUACCCGUUUGCAUGUACUUUAUGAAUAAGGAUCGGCUAACUCCGUGCCAGCAGCCGCGGUAAUACGGAGGAUCCGAGCGUUAUCCGGAUUUAUUGGGUUUAAAGGGAGCGUAGAUGGAUGUUUAAGUCAGUUGUGAAAGUUUGCGGCUCAACCGUAAAAUUGCAGUUGAUACUGGAUAUCUUGAGUGCAGUUGAGGCAGGCGGAAUUCGUGGUGUAGCGGUGAAAUGCUUAGAUAUCACGAAGAACUCCGAUUGCGAAGGCAGCCUGCUAAGCUGCAACUGACAUUGAGGCUCGAAAGUGUGGGUAUCAAACAGGAUUAGAUACCCUGGUAGUCCACACGGUAAACGAUGAAUACUCGCUGUUUGCGAUAUACGGCAAGCGGCCAAGCGAAAGCGUUAAGUAUUCCACCUGGGGAGUACGCCGGCAACGGUGAAACUCAAAGGAAUUGACGGGGGCCCGCACAAGCGGAGGAACAUGUGGUUUAAUUCGAUGAUACGCGAGGAACCUUACCCGGGCUUAAAUUGCAGAUGAAUUACGGUGAAAGCCGUAAGCCGCAAGGCAUCUGUGAAGGUGCUGCAUGGUUGUCGUCAGCUCGUGCCGUGAGGUGUCGGCUUAAGUGCCAUAACGAGCGCAACCCUUGUUGUCAGUUACUAACAGGUUCCGCUGAGGACUCUGACAAGACUGCCAUCGUAAGAUGUGAGGAAGGUGGGGAUGACGUCAAAUCAGCACGGCCCUUACGUCCGGGGCUACACACGUGUUACAAUGGGGGGUACAGAGGGCCGCUACCACGCGAGUGGAUGCCAAUCCCCAAAACCUUUCUCAGUUCGGACUGGAGUCUGCAACCCGACUCCACGAAGCUGGAUUCGCUAGUAAUCGCGCAUCAGCCACGGCGCGGUGAAUACGUUCCCGGGCCUUGUACACACCGCCCGUCAAGCCAUGGGAGCCGGGGGUACCUGAAGUGCGUAACCGCGAGGAGCGCCCUAGGGUAAAACUGGUGACUGGGGCUAAA
rnacentral:rRNA from 1 species